UACGGAGGGUGCGAGCGUUGUUCGGAAUCACUGGGCGUAAAGGGCGUGUAGGCGGUCCGCUAAGUCUGAUGUGAAAGCCCGGGGCUCACCCCCGGAAGGGCAUUGGAAACUGACGGACUCGAGUCCCGAAGAGGAGGGUGGAAUUCCUGGUGUAGCGGUGAAAUGCGUAGAUAUCAAGAGGAACACCUGAGGUGAAGACGGGUUGCUGGGCCAACACUGACGCUGAUGCGCGAAAGCCAGGGGAGCAAACGGG
rnacentral:rRNA from 1 species